GGCUGUCAUUUUUCUGCUUGUGUUGACAAUGGUGGUUAGUUUACUUGGGAAAUUCUGUAAAAAAUAAUCCUUUGCCUUUAUAUGCAAGGUCAGCGUCAUUGGAUCACUUGGGAAGUCUACUGUUUGAACUGGGCAAGGAUUGGAGAUUUAUGGGAAAUGAAGAUUAUUUUCCAUUAUCUAGUUUAUUCAACAAAUUAGAGAAGAAAAACACUUCUUAAUUGACAUGAUUAGCGGUGAGAGGUUGCCUGAAGCAACCCAUCUCGAAUUUGGGCGGCAACGUCAUUAACUGCACCGGGUCCAUGAGGGAUAAACACCGCUGAAGAUUUACUGGCC
rnacentral:misc_RNA from 1 species